UGUCUAAGUAUAAGCAAUUAUACAGCGAAACUGCGAAUGGCUCAUUAUAUAAGUUAUCGUUUAUUUGAUAGUACCUUACUACUUGGAUAACCGUGGUAAUUCUAGAGCUAAUACAUGCUAAAAAUCCCGACUUCGGAAGGGAUGUAUUUAUUAGAUUAAAAACCAAUGCCCUCUGGGCUCCUUGGUGAUUCAUGAUAACUCUUCGAAUCGCACGGCCCUGCGCCGGCGAUGGUUCAUUCAAAUUUCUUCCCUAUCAACUUUCGAUGUUUGGGUCUUGGCCAAACAUGGUCGCAACGGGUAACGGAGGGUUAGGGCUCGACCCCGGAGAAGGAGCCUGAGAAACGGCUACUACAUCCAAGGAAGGCAGCAGGCGCGCAAAUUACCCAAUCCCGAUUCGGGGAGGUAGUGACAAUAAAUACUGAUACAGGGCUCUUUUGGGUCUUGUAAUUGGAAUGAGUACAAUUUAAAUCCCUUAACGAGGAACAAUUGGAGGGCAAGUCUGGUGCCAGCAGCCGCGGUAAUUCCAGCUCCAAUAGCGUAUAUUAAAGUUGUUGUGGUUAAAAAGCUCGUAGUUGAACCUUGGGCCUGGCUGGCCGGUCCGCCUCACCGCGUGUACUGGUCCGGCCGGGCCUUUCCCUCUGUGGAACCCCAUGCCCUUCACUGGGUGUGGCGGGGAAACAGGACUUUUACUUUGAAAAAAUUAGAGUGCUCCAGGCAGGCCUAUGCUCGAAUACAUUAGCAUGGAAUAAUGAAAUAGGACGCGUGGUUCUAUUUUGUUGGUUUCUAGGACCGCCGUAAUGAUUAAUAGGGACAGUCGGGGGCAUCAGUAUUCAAUUGUCAGAGGUGAAAUUCUUGGAUUUAUUGAAGACUAACUACUGCGAAAGCAUUUGCCAAGGAUGUUUUCAUUAAUCAGGAACGAAAGUUAGGGGAUCGAAGACGAUCAGAUACCGUCGUAGUCUUAACCAUAAACUAUGCCGACUAGGGAUCGGACGAUGUUAUUUUUUGACGCGUUCGGCACCUUACGAGAAAUCAAAGUGCUUGGG
rnacentral:rRNA from 1 species